UUCUCGCUUUUUCUCUCCACUAGGCCUACUUUCAUUACGUUGGCUUGGAGGUGGAGCUGACGAAGGAGGUGGCGGAGGGGACGGUGGUUGAGAAGGCGGUGGAGGAGGAGGAAUAGAUGAACUCGGAGGAGACGAAGGAGGAGGUGGAGGUGGAGGCUCUAAAGGCUGGUUUUGACUAUACUGCGAAUACUGCGAAGACGGAUAAUACAUUGGAGCAGGAGGUGGAGGAGGUUGCCCGGAAGGUGGUGGCGGAGGUGGAUACGAAGAAUCA
rnacentral:lncRNA from 1 species